UGGGGAAUAUUGCACAAUGGGGGAAACCCUGAUGCAGCGACGCCGCGUGAACGAAGAAGGUAUUCGUAUCGUAAAGUUCUGUCCUAUGGGAAGAUAAUGACAGUACCACAGAAGAAAGCUCCGGCUAAAUACGUGCCAGCAGCCGCGGUAAUACGUAUGGAGCGAGCGUUGUCCGGAAUUAUUGGGCGUAAAGGGUACGCAGGCGGUUUAAUAAGUCGAAUGUUAAAGAUCGGGGCUCAACCCCGCAAAGCAUUGGAAACUGAUAAACUGGAGUAGUGGAGAGGAAAGUGGAAUUCCUAGUGUAGUGGUGAAAUACGUAGAUAUUAGGAGGAAUACCAGUAGCGAAGGCGACUUUCUGGACACAAACUGACGCUGAGGUACGAAAGCGUGGGGAGCAAACAGG
rnacentral:rRNA from 1 species